rnacentral:rRNA from 1 species
GAUGAACGCUGGCGGCGUGCCUAAUACAUGCAAGUCGAGCGAACGGACGAGAAGCUUGCUUCUCUGAUGUUAGCGGCGGACGGGUGAGUAACACGUGGAUAACCUACCUAUAAGACUGGGAUAACUUCGGGAAACCGGAGCUAAUACCGGAUAAUAUUUUGAACCGCAUGGUUCAAAAGUUAAAGACGGUCUUGCUGUCACUUAUAGAUGGAUCCGCGCUGCAUUCGCUAGUUGGUAAGGUAACGGCUUACCAAGGCAACGAUGCAUACCCGACCUGAGAGGGUGAUCCGCCACACUGGCACUGAGACACGGUCCAGACUCCUACGGGAGGAAGCAGUAGGGACUCUUCCGCAAUGGGCGAAAGCCUGACGGAGCAAAGCCGCGUGAGUGAUGAAGGUCUUCGGCUCGUAAAACUCUGUUAGUAGGGAAGAACAUAUGUGUAAGUAACUGUGAACAUCUUGACGGUACCUAAUCAGAAAGCCCCGGCUAACUACGUG